rnacentral:rRNA from 1 species
UACGUAGGGUGCAAGCGUUGUUCGGAAAUCAUUGGGCGUAAAGCGCGUGUAGGCGGUUUGUUAAGUCGAGUGUGAAAUCCCUGGGCUCAACCGAGGAAGUGCAUUCGAAACUAACUGGCUAGAAGAUGGUAGAGGAGGGUGGAAUUCCAAGUGUAGAGGUGAAAUUCGUAGAUAUUUGGAGGAAUACCGGUGGCGAAGGCGGCCUUCUGGACCAUUCUUGACGCUGAGACGCGAAAGCGUGGGGAGCAAACAGG